rnacentral:rRNA from 1 species
UACGGAGGAUCCAAGCGUUAUCCGGAAUCAUUGGGUUUAAAGGGUCCGUAGGCGGUUUUGUAAGUCAGUGGUGAAAGCCCAUCGCUCAACGGUGGAACGGCCAUUGAUACUGCAAGACUUGAAUUAUUGGGAAGUAACUAGAAUAUGUAGUGUAGCGGUGAGAUGCUUAGAGAUUACAUGGAAUACCAAUUGCGAAGGCAGGUUACUACCAAUAUAUUGACGCUGAUGGACGAAAGCGUGGGGAGCGAACAGG